rnacentral:tRNA from 1 species
GGCUGAAGAUAGGUACUAGAUUGUAAAUCUAGUUAUGAGUAUAACUC